GUUCAGAUCAAUUAGAAGGACUAAAGGAAAAAAUAGUUUCCUAUAUUGAAAAAGAGCAUUCAAAGAUAAAUAUGCAAAUUCCUUUUAGAACAGACAUAAAUGGGGAAAUAAAUCUUAUUCACGACAGGCCAAUAUACGGGAAACAAUAUGCGUAUGCUUUCUCUGUUACCGACUUUGUGAAUAGCGAAAUCAGUAGAAUGUUAUCAGAAGAAAUUAUAAGGUUGUAGGGGUGUGAUAUUAUUAGGAAAAGAUUCUUGUAUUUUUUUAAAAUAUAAAUAGCGCUUCUGGUUCCGCAACUUGGUGGCAACCACACAUCCUAGAAAAUACUAAACGACAAUUUCGUAUUCUCUAACACUGCUUGUCAGAGGGUUGCACCCGCCAUUUCCACGUGUGUAUAUAUAUAUGAACCACCUCGGGCUUAAUAACCGCCCAACAAGACAAACAGACUAAUAAGUGAAGCACCACAAAGCUAAUUUUAAACGCCCAAAGUGGCUGGCAUUAUUUAGCUGGCACCGAUCGCAACAUCCAACUUAUAGUUAAAAAACUAAUUAGGAGUGCGCAGUGCUAUUUGAUCAAAUCGCCUGGUGCUCGUUUUGGCCCACUCUGGCUGCCAACACGUGGAGCGGGACUACUCGAGCCGAGCCACAUACAGUUUACCAGUGCAAAUUUAAGUUUCGAGCCAAGCUUUCCAACCGUUGUAAGACGUAAGGAAAACUUAAGUUCCUAGAUUGAUACACGUGUUGUUCGCCAUAUUCUCCUGACCAGUUGCGAGUAACCUAACCACGGACUGAUGGUUAGCCAUCGAAACGUCCAACACGAGCGUAUAGCGGAUAAGCAGACACCCUGGACUCUCGUUCUAGCUGUUAAAUCUGCCGCCUCGCAGCUAAGGAUUCACCCCCGAUCUCGGCAGCCGAUCUGACUGUUGCAUCGCUUUUGUAGUUUUUAGAAUAGAUUUAAAUUUUAUAGAAAUUAAGCUUAUUACACGCGUACAGUAUGUAUAUUUGGCCUUAGAUUGACUGUUAACUAAUAAUAUUUUGUAGUUCACUCAGCAUACACACAUACAUACACACCGUCCACAGGCCUGCCGACUGCACUGGAAACAGAUUUAAAGUAUUAAUGUUGUGAGUACGGCAUAGCCGACCGUCUGUUAAGAUCAAUCUGAGCCAAGUAAUAUAACUAUAGAAUAACUAUAGAUUCAAGUUUCGACACCCAUGCUAUUUUGUUGAAGACUAUCUUUUUUCUUUUUAAAACUUAAUUGUUAACGUAAAUUUUUGAAUGAAGAACCUCAAUGAAGUCAUUUGUACCCAAUAUAUGGUUAAUCUGCCAUGGGCAAGCUAACGUUAAGAAAAUCAUAAUCUGCCAUGGGCAAGCUAACGUUAAGCAAAUCAUAAGCAUCUGCCAUGGGCAAGCUAACGUUAAGAAAAUCAUAAGCCGCCGCCAUGGGCAACUUAUCUUUAAUUGAAUUUUGGUACGUAUUUGAGAAUGAAGUAUAAAAAGAAGUAAAUUUGUUUGCGAAUUGGGACACCUGAA